UGGUUUUCCAUUUCAUCAAACCUUAUAUGUUAUCCAUGUCUGAAAUUGAUAUAUCACUUCUGGCAUGUUAAUAUUGGCUUUUUUCAUCUUAUUUGCAAACUGGUUUAUCUUUUGUAUAUUAUUGCUUCUUGAUACCCUACAUGUAAACAAUUGUUUGUAAUUUAUAAUAGUUUGAAUACUAUGACAGUGAGUAGUGGCUGACACGAGCGAUUGCUUUUGAGCAUUUACAGAGGCAUUAUUAUUCUUAGUUUAGACCUUCAGCUAUGCUGCUAUAACUAAUGUUUAAUAACUCUAGCCAGGAGUCAAAUAUUCUCUUUGACAUAGCUUGACUGUUUAAUGGGGCUUGAGGUCCAAAUAGACGGUGUUCCCCUUUAAAUUUGGUAGAAAGCAGAAACAACUACAUGCACUCAAUUCACUUAGAUUUUUAUCCUAUAGCUCACUUGCUUGGAUUUCCAGUUGUUUACUCUUAAAAUUGUGGAAUUUGAUAGUUCGUUGUGACAAGUGACAAGUGUGAGUGUGAUUAUGGCUUUUUUUUUUUUGAAAUAUUUGUGAAGGUGGGAAGGUGAAUGAGGUACCUGUAAUAAGAAUUUACGGCUCUACUCCAGCCGGUCAGAAAGCUUGUCUGCACAUUCACAGAGCAUUACCAUACCUAUUUGUGCCGUGCAAAGAUAUACCGAUUCAACCACAUCAGAAAGGUGAUUCGUACACAUAUGAUAUAUCUCUUGCAUUAGAGAAAGCUUUGAAGGCAAAAGCAGUGCUGGUUCAAAACGACAACAUGUACAUGGUUGCAGCCUUGUCCAGGCAAGGAAGCUUUACGGUUACCAUUCAUCAGAGGAGGUGUUUGUGAAGAUAUACCUGUAUCCUUCAGUCAUUCUUGAUUUAUUUUCUUAGCGGUCCAGGAAUUUUUUAUGUGACAAUCUUGUAUGUUGCUGGAUAUUGAAAUUCUUAAAUAACUCAUUAAAAAUUUCAUCAUCCUUGGCAGGAACUUGACCAUGUUGUGGAAGAACUGGAGAAAAUUGCUGUUGUCAAUCUUCUUCAGCACCGAUCAAUAAUAUCUCUCAUUGGAAAUGUGCAGAAAUCAUCACUAAUAUUAGAGAAGCUGUUGUACUGUGUUUUGCUAAGUACUUAGAAAGCAUUCCCUAUUUUAUGUUGUUCUCUAGUUGAUGACAAGUGUUGUUCAAGUGAUCAAACAGGU